rnacentral:rRNA from 1 species
GAUUAACGCUAGCGGCAGGCAUAAUACAUGCAAGUUGAACGGCAGCACAGGUAGCAAUACUGGGUGGCGAGUGGCGCACGGGUGCGUAACACGUAUGCAACCUACCCUAUACAGGCGAAUAACCUUUAGAAAUGAGGGCUAAUACGCCGUAGUAUUACAGAUGGGCAUCUAUUUGUAAUUAAAGAUUUAUCGGUAUAGGAUGGGCAUGCGUCCCAUUAGUUAGUUGGUAAGGUAACGGCUUACCAAGACGAUGAUGGGUAGGGGAUCUGAGAGGACUUACCCCCACACUGGUACUGAGACACGGACCAGACUCCUACGGGAGGCAGCAGUAAGGAAUAUUGGGCAAUGGCCGCGAGGCUGACCCAGCCAUGCCGCGUGCAGGAAGACGGCCUUAUGGGUUGUAAACUGCUUUUAUACGGGAAUAAUAGAGUGUACGCGUACAUUUAUGCAAGGAUCGUAUGAAUAAGCAUCGGCUAACUCCG